AGGUUAAGUCUCAGUGAUUUCUGUAGGAAAUUCAGUUUCUUCUCUAUUCAGAGAAUCUUCUCUAUUCUCUAAACUAUAGAAGAGAGGGGCAGAGACUCCUUCAAGUCUCUUUCUGGAGACAUUUGCGUUUUCUCAGUAACAUUCAUUAAACAUCUGAUUUCCAGAUACUGCCCUUAGUGCUGGAGAUAGAAAAGUUUUGCUGCCCUUGAGGUUCUCACAGUCCAGUUAGGGCAGCAGACACAGGAACAAGGAGUUCCAAAGAAGUGUGGUAAGUACACAGGUCCAGGGCCAGCACAAAGGAGGAAGAAAGCAGCUUGGCCUAUCUGAGAGAGCAGGCCCCACACGGAGGCAAGGCUACACCAUGGCUGCAGGAAAGGACUCAAUCUUCAGAUUUCACUUGGGAACACACCAUUGUUUCUCCUCCGGUCACCCACAAGGAUGGGAAAGUCAGGGAUUCUUCAGGGUGGAGUGGAAGAGAAGCAUUGGCCAUGAUGAUACAGACGAAUCCCACUGUGCUGAGCACAUUGAGUCAUGCACUCUUGCUAUUGCCUGAAACUUGACUCAGCAGCUACAGACCAUGCGCCACACCCUGCUGUUCAAAAUCUGAGGGUUACUGCAGAACAUCCAGGAUCAGGCAAGUCACUUGGGGGUGAUGGCUGGUGACAUCUUCUGGGUGUUCCACAAUGCUGCCUCCUUUAAGGAAGUGUCUGAUGGCCUGUUCACUUCCAACAAGGGGCAGCUGCAGAACAUGAAGGAGUCUUUAGAUGUUGUGAUGGAUUAUCUUGUUAAUAACAUGCCUCUCAACUGGCUGGUAGGUCCCUUUUAUCCUUAGCUGACCGAGUCUCAGAAUGCUCAGGACCAAGGUACACAGAAGGACACAACUAAUCAGGAGGCCCAGCAGCCUGAGCACAAAACACAUCAAAGCUGUACCAUCAAAGUUCAUGGUACAGGCCGCCAGAUGACACUUUCUCUUAUGUUGAAAUUAACCUGUUAGACAACUCUGAAUUGAGGAAGCAGCUAAGUAGAGAUAAGGUCCUCAGUUACAGUCAUUUCUAACUGGAUUAAGAGCUUUAAAAUUUUUGGCAUUAGCAGAUGAGUUCUGUUGUUUACCUGGCUGGUCAGAAAAUGAUAGAUUGGUCACAGCCUAGCCAGGACUCCCAGAAAGUUUCAGUGCAUUUAUGGUCUCAUCCUAUUACCGUUGUUGCUGUUCAUAUUGAAUAAAAACAUUGUCAUGUGGGCUGUGGUGUGGGCU
rnacentral:lncRNA from 12 species